UACGAAGGGGGCUAGCGUUGCUCGGAAUCACUGGGCGUAAAGGGUAGGUAGGUGGUAAUAAAAAGUCUGGGGUGAAAUCCCUGAGCUCAACUCAGGACGUGCCUUGGAAACUUUAUUACUAGAGUGCUGGAGAGGUCCGCAGAAUUCCCGGUGUAGCGGUGAAAUGCGUAGAGAUCGGGAGGAAUACCAGAGGCGAAGGCGGCGGACUGGACAGUCACUGACACUCAACUACGAAAAGCGUGGGGUAGCAA
rnacentral:rRNA from 1 species